ensembl:lncRNA
AUUGUCGGAGGAGGGGCUAGGAAGCUGCGCACGCCGAUUUAAGUAGCCGAUCUCCGGGUAGACUUAAGCUGAAAACCUGCUCCCAAAACCUGCUUUGGUUGCGAGCAUAAGUCACCAUGUGUUACGGCUCAAGACUGGGUGGACCCAAACGCACGGCACAAAUGACCACAGAAAAAGCGGAAACAGUAGAACAGUUUAUUAGUCCACGGUUGAUCGAGGUUAGUGCAGAAGGUUGCGUCCGUUAGGGGUAAUCCUGAAACCACGGGCCAGGGGGUCCGAAACGGGGUUGGAUGGGUCGGCUUGCAGGUGAACCGACAGUCACGCAUGACGAUUCCAAGACGAUGGUAAUCCGGCAGUAGAGCAGGGUUGUGGUAUGGUUGUGAUGUUGAUGACUGGUAGAGAGAAAGAAGUGAAUUGGGAAUGCGCAGAAUUGAACACAAGUAAACUAGAACUAGGAAUAGAAUUGGGAAGUUACUCAACAGGGUAAGUACUAACGACGAUCGGCUGGAAGACUGGGGUAGAUAUCCUGGUGAUCCUGUUUGCAGAUGUCAGGUGCGGGUGAUCACGAGGCUGGGUCGGGGUCAGAGCAACUCAAUAUCAGGAGUACAGAGCUGCUCCCGCACUACAACUGAUUCACUCCGGCACCAGUCGUCCCGAAUGAGAAGGCUCACUCCUCCGCCGCGCGACUUGCCAGUGAUCCCUUGAUCGUGGUCCAUUCUGUAGGCAGUGAAGCCGUCCGGCUCCAACUCGGUUGACGGGAUGUUACUGUCCAGCCACGUCUCUGUGAUCGCCACACAGGCGCGAUAUUCAUGAAGAAGUCGAUGUUAACAGCAGAUGGACAAUUACUCUGCGGGCCUUCCCAUCUUCCUGCGGAAAGAGGCUGCUGGAUUUUUUAAGAACAGGAAUGCAGAAGAAAUUGACCUGCCAGACCUCUCGGAAGCAGCUGUAGCUAUUCUCACUGUCUCAAGUGACACAGACUCCCUUGCGAAGUUUGGUCCUGCUAUCCAUUCUAUAGUUUUUGAGGGAGAUUUGUGUGUGAUAGCGGAGUUGACAGAGGCAUUCAUUUUGCUGUUUGGCUUAAUUUAUGCGCUUCAUCUCGAUUAUCCAAAGCAAAUGUCCUACACAUUUAAUUUCAUUCAAAAAAAUAUACUGGGUUUGGAUGACCUGAAGCGGUUACCUCCUACUGCUUAGCCUUAAAAAUGAAUUGCUGAUGAUGAAUGAGUAAGAAGUCUGUUUUCCAAAUCUCAUGUUGGUACUGCCAGCAUGUUAAUACUCAAGCAAGCAGGGGGGGAAGAGUACCAUCUUUUAGUUAUUUUUAUGCUUUUAUUUAUGUUAUUUUUGUUGAGUAUUAUUACCUUUGUUGAAGAAAUGGUUUUUAUUUCUUUGGUUUUGAUAAACCCCAUUUCAAGGGAGGCUGUUCCGUUAGAAUUCAAAUGGAGUUCUUAAAUAAAUGGAAUCUGCAGUGAAAUUGUCCUCUGAAUAUUUUUUUAUUUGAAGGAUACAAUAAAAUGUAUUUGAUUUAGAGGAAAAUAGUAAACAUAAAAAGUCAAGAAAAUGUGUUUCAAUAGAGUUAAGUCAACUUAAAAAUAUAAGGCUGA